UAAUAUAAAGUCCUCUCAUCGAGGACGUAUCAGAUAUUAAACUGAUAAGAACAGAUACUACACUUGAUCUUAGCCAAAAGGCCGAGAAGCGAUGCCCGCCGCCCCCACCCCGCGCCGCCCGCUCCCGCGCCCACCACCCCGACCUCACGGACACUGCUCCACCGCCCGCCCCCGCCCUCCCGGGCCUCAACCCGCCGCCCUCGCCCGCCCUCGCCCGCGCUCCGCUCGCAGCCGCGACCCCCAAGCGCCCCGCCGCCGCGGCGCCGGGGCCUCCCAGCGGCCCGUUCGGGCCCCCAAGCGCCCGAUUGGCUGGGCCCCGACACGAAUUUGCAUGCCCCGCCCCGCCCCGCGCCUCGCCGGCCGCGUGCCCCGCCCACGAAGCCUCUGCGCCCGCCCUUCGCUCCGCGCUCAUUGGCGCGGCUCCGCCUCCUCCUCGCAUUCGCCCCAUAUCUCUACAGGGAGGGUGUUCUCGGAGCACCACCCUCAUUAUCUACACCUGAGUCUCCAACUCCAAGUGAAACAAAGAGUAACCCUGCGGAAACGUCCUCCCUGGCAGCCCGGUAUUUGAUCUGCUCCCCUGGACUCUGGAGAUGGGCACUUACCCAGUGCGGCGGGAUCGCAUGCGCUGCAAGGAGUGCAACCCUGAGAACAGACCUUGCAAUUGCAGUGAGAGUUCCUUUGGCAGCAUUGUAUGUACACCUGGUCUCCAUUUGCUAGGAAGCAACAGCGCUCUGGAUUCAUAUGGGCCAAGAAGACUUCUUCCAUCUGUGAAUGACAUUUACCAAUAAUUUGACAGAAGUUGCUGAAACACUAUCAUCAAGAUUCACAUCUGCUGUUGGCCCAAGAUGCAAUGCAGAUCUCACUGGCUGGCCAUAACUGUUGGCUGAUCUGUCACCCACUCAAAAGAACACAGUGGAGUCUUGCACACCUUACAUGGGCCAAAGCUCUAUGAGCCUCAGGCAGACACAGACAACUGGCAGCUGCAGGGGACAAAAGGACCUUUCAGCUCUCAGUGCCAGCCGUGGAAAAGAAGGAAUAAGCUGCGGGUAGUUUUACUUCUUCCCAGAACCUGCCCCGGGCUCAUAGCCCUCCUCCAGCUGACUGGUAAGCUAUCCAAGUGGUCACUUGGAAACUUCCCUGGGCAGGCAGACCUGGAUCCCAGUCUGCUGUCCUUCUGCCGUGCCCCAGGGCUUCUGCUGCUUCCUGCCAUGAGCACAUGGGAAGCAGCCA